UGGCUCAGUUGGUAGAGCAUGGUGUUUGCAAUGCCAGGGUUGUGGGUUCAAUUUCCAC
rnacentral:tRNA from 1 species